rnacentral:rRNA from 1 species
AACGAGCGCUGGCGGCAUGCCUAACACAUGCAAGUCGAACGAGACCUUCGGGUCUAGUGGCGCACGGGUGCGUAACACGUGGGAAUCUGCCCUUUGCUUCGGAAUAACAGUUAGAAAUGACUGCUAAUACCGGAUGAUGUCGAAAGACCAAAGAUUUAUCGGCAAAGGAUGAGCCCGCGUAGGAUUAGGUAGUUGGUGGGGUAAAGGCCUACCAAGCCGACGAUCCUUAGCUGGUCUGAGAGGAUGAUCAGCCACACUGGGACUGAGACACGGCCCAGACUCCUACGGGAAGCAGCAGUGGGGAAUAUUGGACAAUGGGCGAAAGCCUGAUCCAGCAAUGCCGCGUGAGUGAUGAAGGCCUUAGGGUUGUAAAGCUCUUUUACCAGGGAUGAUAAUGACAGUACCUGGAGAAUAAGCUCCGGCUAACUCCGUG